GGUCAGGUGUUGCCACAUGCACAGUGGAACUGUGGGCCAGUCAACAGUAGACUGGAACAAUUAAAAAUCGACUCCUUAACCAAGUGAAUUUGAGACCUAACCCAUAGGUGUUGGGGACAUUGUUCAACUUAUAUCCCGGACGUGGAGGUUCAUUCUCCCUUUUGCCUUCAGUAGGCCUGAUACUUUUAUGUUUCUGUAACUCCAUCUUACUCCUCUGUUUUUGUAUCCAGGGCCCUUACUCUUUUUCCCUCUAUUUGUGUGUGAUACACUUCGUUAGCUUGAAGAGGGUGAAGGGACAGGUAGAGAGCUACAGAGGCAAAGAACACAGCUGCUGGUCCUGACAGCUGCUGCCUCUGUUUCUGAAACUGGGAAUUAAUGGAAUUGAAGAGAUUGGACUGAAUUAGCAAGCUGUUGGACAGACCCUCUGGGAAUCGGCUCCUGUAGAGCUUCUACAGAUGGGUCUCUGGGGAGGGGGCCUCUUGAAGACCUCAUGGGACCUGGCAGAGAGUAAUUGUCAUCGUAUUAACAUAUACAACCCUUUGUGUGUCUGAACAUAUGAAGAGCAUGUUCUAUUACCACCUGGAAAGCACCAUGAUACAGAAGCAUGCAGCAGCCUCUGGGCACCAGACUCAUCUCAAAAGCAGUGGGAAGAUGCACUCCUUAGUGACAGAUGGUGUCCUGAAUAUACAAAGUUGGUGGCACGCUGAGAUUGGUUUUCAGGAUUGAAAUGAUGUUACCAUAGAUUCCUGGUAUAAA